UCUCAAGACCGUUACUAUCUUCAACAAAUAUCCAAAACAUUUGACUGUUUCCAUGAUAUCUCAUGUCCCAAUUAAAAUUGGGAGUGAUAUUUAAUACAAGUCGCAAAACGUUUUUCGUUAAAGGUAGCAAAUCAACAUUAAUGUUUAAAAGAGGUAAUUUGGAAAUAAAUUUUUUAACUGUAGGGCCCAUUUUUCGGUUAUGAAUAAGAUCACCAAGUUCUCCUGUAGACAUGUCCGACAAUUCUUCUAAUGAUAAAGACCCACACUGAUUUUCCACUUUGACUGCAAGGUCAUGUGGAAGAUCAAACUGAAGUAAGGGGU